UACGUAGGGGGCAAGCGUUGUCCGGAAUCAUUGGGCGUAAAGCGCGUGUAGGCGGCCCGGUAAGUCCGCUGUGAAAGUCCAGGGCUCAACCCUGGGAUGCCGGUGGAUACUGUCGGGCUCGAGUCCGGAAGAGGAGUGUGGAAUUCCAGGUGUAGCGGUGAAAUGCGUAGAUAUCUGGAGGAAUACCGGUGGCGAAGGCGGCAUCCUGGACCGACAUUGACGCUGAACGGCGAAAGCUAGGGGAGCAAACGGG
rnacentral:rRNA from 1 species